AAUAUAACGAAGAGAAAUCAAAAAAUCACCAAAGAAAGAAGUUUGAAAUUUCUCAUUUUCACUCUUCUCAAUCCUUUUUCUUUCAUUCUCUCUCUCAUUUUCUUUUUGUU
rnacentral:ribozyme from 13 species